AUGACUACCUUGGAUAAGACCAAAACUAUUGCAUACAUGCAUAUUUGUCAGGUGAUUUCUAGUGCAAACUAUUUAAUAAUAUAUUUAUGUUAUCCAGAACAAAAAUACUUCACAUACUUUUGUGUUUUGUCUAAUUGCAGGUGUAUGGGACAUUUGUACAAUCCACAUAUGAAGAUAAGGGAAAAGGAUAAGUUUAGGUGCUGUUCAAAAAGUCUUCUCACGCCACUUUUGGGCCAAGAGAAGAUAGAGUCCAAGUCUCUCACAUUCUGGAUUCAGAUUCGGACUACACAGACAUACCUGACUCAAAACGACAACAACUUUUUCAUACGGACUCCGAAUUGGGUGAUUCUUUUUUUGUUGGAAAGUAGAUUUCAUGCUCUUUCCAGCACAAUUGGAAUCACCUUAAAAUCCGUCCGGAGCGUUGAGUUAUGGACGAAACAAUCUGACGCUGCACCAGAAUCCGAGUCAAACUACAAGUCCAAAGGUGUUACGUCACCUCCACUUGGGCCCAUUGGCCUUGUACGACCUAGGGUUAGUUUUAGGAUGCCUUGGGACGUCCUCCCACCUUCUUAG
rnacentral:rRNA from 1 species